rnacentral:rRNA from 1 species
AGAGUUUGAUCCUGGCUCAGAGUGAACGCUGGCGGCGUGCUUAACACAUGCAAGUCGAACGAGAACAGAAGAGAGCUUGCUCUCUUGCUGCUAAGUGGCGCACGGGUGAGUAAUAUAUAGGUAAUAUGCCUCUUACUAAGGGAUAAUUGUUGGAAACGACUUGUAAUACCUUAUAUGCCUUUUGAACAUAAGUUCGUAAAGGGAAAGAUUUAUCGGUAAGAGAUUAGCCUGUACGGUAUCAGGUAGUUGGUGGGGUAAUGGCCUACCAAGUCUAUGACACCUAACUGGUUUGAGAGGAUGAUCAGUCACACUGGAACUGAGACACGGUCCAGACUCCUACGGGAGGCAGCAGUGGGGAAUAUUGCACAAUGGACGAAAGUCUGAUGCAGCAACGCCGCGUGGAGGAUGACACAUUUCGGUGCGUAAACUCCUUUUAUAUGAGAAGAUAAUGACGGUAUCAUAUGAAUAAGCACCGGCUAACUCCGUGCCAGCAGCCGCGGUAAUACGGGGGGUGCAAGCGUUACUCGGAAUCACUGGGCGUAAAGAGCAUGUAGGCGGGUGAAUAAGUUGGAAGUGAAAUCCUAUAGCUUAACUAUAGAACUGCUUCCAAAACUGUUCACCUAGAGUAUGGGAGAGGUAGAUGGAAUUUCUGGUGUAGGGGUAAAAUCCGUAGAGAUCAGAAGGAAUACCGAUUGCGAAGGCGAUCUACUGGAACAUUACUGACGCUCAGAUGCGAAAGCGUGGGGAGCAAACAGGAUUAGAUACCCUG